AUUGAACGCUGGCGGCAGGCUUAACACAUGCAAGUCGAGCGGAGAGAAGUAGCUUGCUACUGAUCUUAGCGGCGGACGGGUGAGUAAUGCUUAGGAAUCUGCCUAUUAGUGGGGGACAACAUUUCGAAAGGAAUGCUAAUACCGCAUACGCCCUACGGGAGAAAGCAGGGGAUCUUCGGACCUUGCGCUAAUAGAUGAGCCUAAGUCGGAUUAGCUAGUUGGUGGGGUAAAGGCCUACCAAGGCGACGAUCUGUAGCGGGUCUGAGAGGAUGAUCCGCCACACUGGGACUGAGACACGACCCAGACUCCUACGGGAGGCAGCAGUGGGGAAUAUUGGACAAUGGGCGGAAGCCUGAUCCAGCCAUGCCGCGUGUGUGAAGAAGGCCUUAUGGUUGUAAAGCACUUUAAGCGAGGAGGAGGCUACUUUAGUUAAUACCUAGAGAUAGUGGACGUUACUCGCAGAAUAAGCACCGGCUAACUCUGUGCCAGCAGCCGCCGUAAUAC
rnacentral:rRNA from 1 species